UACAAACCGUGAGAACGUUAUUCGGAAUCAUUGGGCUUAAAGGGAGAGUAGGCGGCGACAUAAGCUGGAAGUGAAAUCCCAUCGGCUCAACAGUGGAAUUGCUCCCAGUACUGUGUCGCUCGAGGGGGAUAGGGGUCCGCGGAACUACCGGUGGAGCGGUGAAAUGUGUUGAUAUCGGUGGGAACGCCAGCGGCGAAAGCGGGGGACUUGACCCUUCCUGACGCUGAGGCGCGAAAGCUAGGGGAGCAAACGGG
rnacentral:rRNA from 1 species